rnacentral:rRNA from 1 species
CACGUAGGGUGCGAGCGUUGUCCGGAAUUAUUGGGCGUAAAGAGCUCGUAGGCGGUGUGUCGCGUCGGCCGUGAAAACCUGCAGCUUAACUGUGGGCUUGCGGUCGAUACGGGCAUCACUGGAGUUCGGCAGGGGAGACUGGAAUUCCUGGUGUAGCGGUGAAAUGCGCAGAUAUCAGGAGGAACACCGGUGGCGAAGGCGAGUCCCUGGACAACUCCUGACGCUGAGGCACGAAAGCUAGGGGAGCAAACAGG